rnacentral:rRNA from 1 species
GAUGAACGCUGGCGGCGUGCCUAAUACAUGCAAGUCGAGCGAACAGACGAGGAGCUUGCUCCUCUGACGUUAGCGGCGGACGGGUGAGUAACACGUGGAUAACCUACCUAUAAGACUGGGAUAACUUCGGGAAACCGGAGCUAAUACCGGAUAAUAUAUUGAACCGCAUGGUUCAAUAGUGAAAGACGGUUUUGCUGUCACUUAUAGAUGGAUCCGCGCCGCAUUAGCUAGUUGGUAAGGUAACGGCUUACCAAGGCGACGAUGCGUAGCCGACCUGAGAGGGUGAUCGGCCACACUGGAACUGAGACACGGUCCAGACUCCUACGGGAGGCAGCAGUAGGGAAUCUUCCGCAAUGGGCGAAAGCCUGACGGAGCAACGCCGCGUGAGUGAUUAAGGUCUUCGGAUCGUAAAACUCUGUUAUUAGGGAAGAACAAAUGUGUAAGUAACUAUGCACGUCUUGACGGUACCUAAUCAGAAAGCCACGGCUAACUACGUG